rnacentral:tRNA from 1 species
GGGGUCAUAGUGUAAUUUGGUAACAUAUCUGCCUUGCACGCAGAAGACUCCGGAAUCGUACUCCGGUGGCUCCA